rnacentral:rRNA from 1 species
UACAGAGGGGGCAAGCGUUGUUCGGAAUUACUGGGCGUAAAGGGCGCGUAGGCGGCCUGUUAGGUCGAACGUGAAAUCCCCGGGCUCAACCCGGGAACUGCGUCCGAUACUGGCAGGCUUGAAUUCGGGAGAGGGAUGCGGAAUUCCAGGUGUAGCGGUGAAAUGCGUAGAUAUCUGGAGGAACACCGGUGGCGAAGGCGGCAUCCUGGACCGAGAUUGACGCUGAGGCGCGAAAGCCAGGGGAGCAAACGGG